rnacentral:rRNA from 1 species
CCUACGGGUGGCAGCAGUGAGGAAUAUUGGUCAAUGGGCGUUAGCCUGAACCAGCCAAGUCGCGUGAAGGAUGACUGCUCUAUGGGUUGUAAACUUCUUUUAUAUGGGAAUAAAGUGCAGUAUGUAUACUGUUUUGCAUGUACCUUAUGAAUAAGGAUCGGCUAACUCCGUGCCAGCAGCCGCGGUAAUACGGAGGAUCCGAGCGUUAUCCGGAUUUAUUGGGUUUAAAGGGAGCGUAGGCGGGUUUUUAAGUCAGUGGUGAAAGUUUGCGGCUCAAACAUAAAAUUGCAGUUGAUACUGGGAUGCUUGAGUACAGUUGAGGUAGGCGGAAUGCGUGGUGUAGCGGUGAAAUGCUUAGAUAUCACGAAGAACUCCGAUUGCGAAGGCAGCCUGCUAGACCGUAACUGACGCUGAUGCACGAAAGUGUGGGUAUCAAACAGGAUUAGAUACCCGGGUAGUC